AUUGAACGCUGGCGGCAGGCUUAACACAUGCAAGUCGAGCGGAGCGAGGGUGCUUGCACCUUAGCUUAGCGGCGGACGGGUGAGUAAUGCUUAGGAAUCUGCCUAUUAGUGGGGGACAACAUUCCGAAAGGAAUGCUAAUACCGCAUACGCCCUACGGGGGAAAGCAGGGGAUCUUCGGACCUUGCGCUAAUAUAUGAGCUUAAGUCGGAUUAGCUAGGUGGUGGGGUAAAGGCCUACCAAGGCGACGAUCUGUAGCGGGUCUGAGAGGAGGAUCCGCCACACUGGGACUGAGACACGGCCCAGACUCCUACGGGAGGCAGCAGUGGGGAAUAUUGGACAAUGGGCGGAAGCCUGAUCCAGCCAUGCCGCGUGUGUGAAGAAGGCCUUUUGGUUGUAAAGCACUUUAAGCGAGGAGGAGGCUACUUAGAUUUAUACUCUGGGAUGGUGGACGUUACUCGCAGAAUAAGCACCGGCUAACUCUGUGCCAGCCGCCGCCGUAA
rnacentral:rRNA from 1 species